rnacentral:lncRNA from 1 species
UGAGUCUGUACGCCCUAACCCUAACCCUAUCCCCUCCCUAUCUGGCUACGAGGGUCCUUAGCCUCGGUAGGGCAGUCCCUGCAACUGAGUGGCUGUCAGGAGGUGUCUGUCCCGUCUCUCUCUUCCUCUUUCCCUCCGUUCUCUGAGCGAGUGCCCUAAGACAGUGAAGCUGUCGCAGCCAGGAGGUGACAGCAUCCCGCCGGAGAGGGACGGGGACCGCCGGCAGCGGGAGCUGCCGUAGGAUCUAUCUGGUGGGAGAGCCGUAUCCUACCCGGCUGAGAGCGGGGUCGGCUGCGGGUCGAGUCUGUCUCUUGCUCCUCGAAGCUGCUCGGAGAGGUGGAUGCCUGUUGUCUGAUUUGGGGCUCUGAAUUUGGAACAGUUUUUGGUUAUAUGCUUCCUGAAACUUGGAGAAUACCUGCAAUAAAUAGGAUUGGCCAUGAGAAUUUGUAACAUUCCUAUGGAAAUACAGUGAUGGGGCCGCUGAGAAGUUACCCUCUUUUGUACAGAUUGAAUUAAAAGCAUCCACUUCAGGAAACUACAACUGUGUUUAUUCGAGUGUUGAAUUUGGAAGUAGUACCGGGAUCUCUGCCACUUCACGCUUGAACCAUGAAGCCCAGGUCAGUUCCAUUUUUUGGUUUUCAUGUACUGGCACACCGUGCUGCAGUGUUUUGAGCUUCCAGGACUCAGUGGGAGCAAUUCUUCUUUUAAGAUGCAGAAAACAUCAUAUUUGGUUUUAUAACCUUGCCUCUUGUUGCUGCUUUUUUUUUUUUUUUUUUUUUUUCCCUCCUUUUUUACUACUAAACCAAAAUGUCAGGGUGGCAUGUCAGUAAACACAGUGCGUUCAAAAAGGAUCAUGCUGACAGGCUUGAAAACUAAACACUCUCUUUUAAACAGGCAGGAGCAGCUCCCAUUUUCCUGACUGCCAAGCAGGCUGUCCCUGGACCUGAGGGGACAGCUGUGCUUAAUCUGCCUAUCGCUCUGUCACUAUGACUGCCAGCAAUUGCACUGUAUAAUGCAGUCCUGGGAUGUGGGAGGAUAACAGGUUUCAAUCACUGUGCACUGAAGUUGACUUUGUGACUCAAAGGCUGCUGACUCAAUACCCUGUUAGUUUUUGUUCAGUGCGUCAACCUCUUUUCUACCUUCCAGCCUUCUUUGGCAUUAGGGAUUUUGUGUGUUUGUCAGAUUGCUAGGG